UUUUCUUAUUAAGGUUAGAUAUUCUUGGAUUCAGCUCAUUCUCACCGAUUUGCUUUAAUUUUAAUUACCUUCAGAAAAUAUUUAAUUACUUUUUCAGCUUUGCUGAUUGGGUUUCAUUAUUCAUGUCCAUUGAAGGGUUGUCUAAGUUAGAUUUGUCUUUUAUCACAGAUUCACAAAGUAAGUCGGUUUUGCCACUGAACUGAUCUGUAAAGAACUCCAAGCACUGAAACCACUACUUAGGUACAUGUGAACACUACUUAUAUUAGAUCAUGAAGAAUGAUUUGGUGACCUAUUUCCUAACUCUGAUUUCUGAUUCAAGGGUAGAGUUUGGUGAAUUUAAUUCAAUGCAGCAACAAACACAUAUUCAAGUGGACUAGUAUUUUGUCAUGAGCUGUGGAUUUCUGAGUUUCCUGCAAGAUUUAAUUUGAUUAUCAAAACUGUGUUGGCACAAAAUCAUACACUCUAGGUUAGUUGUACACUAAUUCAUAUGUAAAGGCUGAAGCUGCUUGUAAAGCUGCACAUUCUAUAUACGGUGUAGCUUUUAUCAUAACAUGUACAUUCAUCUCUUUCAAUAAAGCUUAUAGAGGGAGUUAAGUUUCAAAAA